CGGGGAAGUAAAUCCGUCUCACGUGUAACCCAAGUGACCUCAGGUCUAUGCGUGCUCUCUGGCUGUAAGUCAUUGUGAAGCUCUGAAACAUCACUGAGGGCUUUUCACAAUUAUAAUAUAACAUUUAUAGCGAAAAGUGACUAGUGGCAUAUUUAAAUGGCCGAGAUCCAGGAGCUCUCUCCAGACUCUGGCAGUGGGGAGACACGACCCCCCGAAGACGAGAUCGAGGGUGAUGAUGAGGACGAAGAGGUACUUGAUUGCUUCUACAGUUUUGCUUGACUUUAUGAAAUUGUCAAGAUAUAGGAAAUUUUGGAUGAAACCCUGUUGGAGAGGUUGUGGGGUCUCACGGAGAUGUUUCCAGAAUCUUUGCGAUCAGCAGCUGAAGUAUCCGCACAGAGUUCGCUGUCUGUAGCCAAAAAACUUUACAGUUUCUCCCGCUCAGCUCUAUGGGUCGGUACUACUUCCUUCAUGAUUCUGGUUCUGCCAGUUGUAUUUGAGACUGAGAGGUUACAGCUGGAACAGCAACAACUACAACAGCAGAGACAGAAAUCUCCACCAAUCAGAGAAUCAUGAAAAGCAAAUGCCAAAAGAGCUGUACACUGGCAUAAAACACUGCUAAUGACGUAACAGGAUUUUGUUGGGUCCAAAUGCUGGCAUGUCUGGAGGAAUGCCUGGAAUGAUGCCUCCUGCUCCUGGGAAGCUGUGAUGUAUAUAUUGUAACAUCCGUGAGUUGUAGAAGAAGAAGGAGAAAGAGAGAGGGAGCAAGAACUGGAGAAAGAAAGAAGUCGUUACUUUGUAUAGUUUCUGUGUACACUGGAGACCUUGAUAACUUUUAUGAACUUCCCUCUCUCUCUGCCUUUCUCACAGAAACAUCCUGCACAUGUCGUCCAAGCUCUGAUAUUUUACUUUUUUUUUUUUAUUAUAGCUAUCUAAUAACAUUUCUUUCAGAAAGAGUCUAUAACAGCUGUUGGGGAAAACUUUGACUGUGUUGUAGGUGCAUUAUAUUUCUAAGAGAGUGUUUACGGUGCAGUGUGGGCCAUAGUAACACCGGAUCAACACUGACGUGCAGAGAAUCUAUAACAGCAUUCAGCGUUUAUGAGGGCACGCAAGGCCAAUAUUGAUUGUGAAAUUUUCUUGGUCUACAGAUUAUGGUUUUUCUUGUUUUUUUUUUUUUUUUUUUUUUGUUCCUGUUCCAUAAAUGUUAAAACCUUUAGAAGUGGUUCUCUGCCAACAGUGUCUUUUAAGGUGAUGGUACACUGGUUAACUUUUUUGAGCAAUGUUGCUUGGGCCACUUUCCCAUUAAGAAUGGGCAGCAGAUUUCUUGAUACUUUAGAUCGUUUAUGUGCCCUGUGUCUCAGCUGGUUGCCCAUUAACAGCAACAUUGCUCAAAAAGUUGCCCAGUGUAUCAUCACCCUAAACUAAUACCAUGCAAAGCUACUGCAAUGUUAUUCCUCAGACAAAAGCCAUACAGUGUGCAGAACCGUUGUGAAAUAAUUAAGAAAGAAUGUUUGAAAACAGUGUACUUCAGUGAAUAAUAAUGUUUGCUCCACAUGACAGGAAUAAAAACAAGUUCUCCAAUGUCCUUGUCUUUUGUCUAUACUCUUUAUUACAUAAUAUACUUUUUUUCUGAUACUUGAGUAGAACCAGACUGGUGAAGUGCACCU
ensembl:lncRNA